UGGGGAANUUUCCGCAAUGGGCGAAAGCCUGACGGAGCAAUACCGCGUGAGGGAGGAAUGCCUUUGGGCUGUAAACCUCUUUUCUCAGGGAAGAAGAUCUGACGGUACCUGAGGAAUAAGUAUCGGCUAACUCCGUGCCAGCAGCCGCGGUAAUACGGAGGAUGCAAGCGUUAUCCGGAAUCAUUGGGCGUAAAGCGUCCGCAGGUGGUUUCCAAAGUCUGCUGUUAAAGACUGGAGCUCAACUCCGGAACGGCGGUGGAAACUUGGAAACUAGAGUUCGGUAGGGGUAGCAGGAAUUCCCAGUGUAGCGGUGAAAUGCGUAGAUAUUGGGAAGAACAUCGGUGGCGAAGGCGUGCUACUGGACCGUAACUGACACUCAGGGACGAAAGCUAGGGGAGCGAAAGGGAUUAGAUACCCCUGUAGUCCUAGCUGUAAACGAUGGAAACUAGGUGUGGCUUGA
rnacentral:rRNA from 1 species